AGUUUGUUUAUUUAUAGUCUGGCCUGCCCACUGAGAUUUAAAGGGCCGCGGUAAUUUGACCGUGCGAAGGUAGCAUAAUCAUUAGUUUUUUAAUUGAAGGCUUGAAUGAACGGUUGGACGAAGAAUUAGCUGUCUUUUUAUUAUUUUGAAUUUAACUUUUAAGUGAAAAGGCUUAAAUUAAUUAGAGGGACGAUAAGACCCUAUAAAACUUUAUAUACUUCUGUCAUAAUAUAGUAAUUUGGUUUAAAUUUGUUUUGGUUGGGUUAUAUUUUGUUGGGGCGACAUUUAUAUAAUUUGUAACUGUUUUGUUAAUUUAAUAAUUAUAAUUAGGUUUUGAUCCUUUAUUAAAGAUUAAAARAUUAAKUUACUUUAGGGAUAACAGCGUAAUUUUCUCUGAGAGUUCUUAUCGACGARAGUAGUUGCGACCUCGAUGUUGAAUUAAAAUUUCAGAUUGGUGUAGCCACUUUUCUGGUGGGUCUGUUCGACCUUUAAAAUUUUACGUGAUCUGAGUUCAGACCGGGUCAUASCUGUUU
rnacentral:rRNA from 1 species